UUUUAGCUGUCCACUCCAGUUGCUUGACUUCUUCAGUCUGGUUGCUUGUGGCCUACCAAAAGCAAGAAGAGACGAGUUAAAUUGGCAGGGAACAAAACUCUACACAUGUGCAAGGGAACCUGGCUUUCCUGGUAAAAAAACCACCCCUACAAUAUACUGGUCUAUCUAUACAUCAGGGAGAUGGGAGGAAUUUUCCAAAACAAGGAUACAAAGAUAGCUUUACAAAAGCUGAAAAGAGAGCACCCUUAGGUCAACCAAGGUUUUGCUGAACUUCAGAAUGCACCACACACUUAUGCAGUGCAUUACAGGAGUUCCAGUGGCCUCCUGGCCCCCAAACCUCCCAGCUGCCAGUAGCAACUUGCAAUGGGCAAGCAAUCUGCUCGCCCAGCCAGAGGGAAUGGAUCAUCUGCAGAAGUUCGUAAUAGUGUUCAGAAAGAAACCAGACUUGUGCCCAGCUACCAAGAGAACAGCAUCCUAGAGCUAAAAGUUUGCACCAUAUUUUAAAUAGUGGAGACAAUGAUAUCCUCUUACAUUUCAUAGUAAUUAAAAUGUUGAUAUGUUUUGUGACUUUUCUUAAAAGCUUCAAAUUUCCACAUGUAAACAGUGGAUUCUGAAAGCCAUCAAUCUCACAGUGGGAGCAAACAUCUGCAAGACUGGAUAGUGCCUUUAAAAUCUACAGGACCAACAACAGAACAUGUUUUGGGACCUGCCAGAAGGAGUUAACUGUGAUUAAUUGCUUUUUAUCCCAAUUCAAUUUCUUGAUUAAGAUUUCUGACUCAAGGAAUUGUCAGCAGAAGACAAUAUAUCCAAGUUUAUAUUAUAUAUCAGUCAUAAAACAGUACAGGAAGAUAUUCAGUGCCGACAUAGAACUGAAAGCAUUUUAUUGAGAAAGGCCUUGUUUUAUUUGGCAGGCUUCCACGACCUCCUACUGUUGACAAAACUAGCAGCAAUUCCUAUUUGAAGUGCACCAGAAGAUGAUCCCGCUCUACAGAAGCUGCUUCUUUGGAGCAUUUACGGGAUUUAUCUCUAAAUUAAUAUUUUUGUCGAACACAUUCGCUACACACCUUACAUAAUCUUUAAAUUAUAGGAAGAUGUUAGAAGGGUGUUCUGAGACUUGGCUGCCGGAGUAAUGCUAGAGAUGUAUAGCUCUCUCAAGACGACAUUUGUAACUGACCUACAGCACACCAGGCCUGCUAUUUCCCUUUCCUGAUUCAUGAUAAGUGCAGCUGUCUCCAAAUAACCCUCUGGAGUACAUUAAUGCCCUGUUCAUCCCUCAUGGUAAAUAUAUGCACAUAUCUUAGGCCCAUUUUUGAAUGUUCCAUUGCUAAGUUGAACAGAAAAUUAGAUAUUUCUGUUUUUAUUUAUUUCUAAAAUAUUUUCUUUAAAAUACCAAGGUGGCUGCAAUGACAAAAGUCUUCAAGUUUAUGCUUCUAUCUAAAAAUGCUGUUAUUUUCAAUAAACAAUCUUAAAGCAAAAAAAUUAAAAUCAUAUCUCGCUUGCUUGAUGGAUUUUUAAUCUUCCCUCAGAAUAGUCCCUGGGCUUCUAUGCUGUCUUUGUUACAAGCAGCACACACA